rnacentral:rRNA from 1 species
UACGAAGGGGGCUAGCGUUGCUCGGAAUCACUGGGCGUAAAGGGUGCGUAGGCGGGUCUUUUAAGUCAGGGGUGAAAUCCUGGAGCUCAACUCCAGAACUGCCUUUGAUACUGAAGUAUCUGAGUUCGGGAGAGGUGAGUGGAACUGCGAGUGUAGAGGUGAAAUUCGUAGAUAUUCGCAAGAACACCAGUGGCGAAGGCGGCAUCCUGGACCAAUAUUGACGCUGAGGAGCGAAAGCUAAGGGGAGCAAACGGGG